rnacentral:ncRNA from 1 species
UCAAAGGCUAUGAACAUGUAUAGUAGUUUGAUCCGAUUCAUGAAGAGAGAGAAUGUCAUCGGCUGAAAGCAUUCUUGUGUUCCCGGAUAAAAUGAAAUUCCCAUGCAAGCCGCAUCUUUGAAGGAAAUCUGUGUAGGAGAUGCCGUAGACAGAACGUUAUCUGUAAAGAAGAGUUUAUGAUGAUUCACGAUCAUACGAUCGUACACAUAAGAAGCAGGGUGGUACCGCGGAGAGAUUCGUCCCUGCC